rnacentral:rRNA from 1 species
UUUUAGGCAUGCAAGUCGAGCGGCAAGGGUAAUUCGGUACCCCUAGAGCGGCGGACGGGUGAGUAACACGUGGAUAACCUGCCCCCGGGGUGCGGGAUACCCCAGGGAAACCUGGAUUAAUACCUCGUAAGACCACGCUCUGCAGGGAGAGUGGGAAAAGGCGCUUCGGCGUCGCCUGGGGAUGGGUCCGCGUCCCAUUAGCUAGAUGGUAGGGUAAGAGCCUACCAUGGCGACGAUGGGUAGCCGGCCUGAGAGGGUGAACGGCCACACUGGAACUGAGACACGGUCCAGACUCCUACGGGAGGCAGCAGCUAAGAAUCUUCCGCAAUGGGCGCAAGCCUGACGGAGCGACGCCGCGUGGGCGAGGAAGGCCGCAAGGUUGUAAAGUCCUUUUCGGGAAGGGGAAUAAGAGUGAUAGGCAAUGAUCACUUGACGACAUGAAUCCCGGAAUAAGCCCCGGCUAACUACGUGCCAGCAGCCGCGGUAACACGUAGGGGGCGAGCGUUGUUCGGAAUCAUUGGGCGUAAAGGGCGCGCAGGCGGCGUGUAAAGUCUGGCGUGGAAGUCCCCGGCUCAACUGGGGGAUUGCGUUGGAAACUGGCACGCUUGAGUACGACAGGGGAUGGCGGAAUUCCAGGUGUAGGGGUGAAAUCUGUAGAUAUCUGGAGGAACACCAACGGCGAAGGCAGCCAUCUGGAUCAGUACUGACGCUGAGGCGCGAAGGUGCGGGGAGCAAACAGGUUUAGAUACCCUGGUAGUCCGCACAGUAAACGAUGUGCACUAGGUGUCGGGCAGUCAAUGUUCGGUACCGCAGCAAACGCGUUAAGUGCAC